GAGGCAGGCAGCUCAGAGCAGCUGAAGGAGAUAGGAUACUGCAAGCAAGAGGUUGGAGUGAUGUAAAGAAGGGGCUGCGAGCAGGGAAGGCAGGACCCUCCAGACACUGAAAAAGACACAUAAGGAAUUCUUCCCUAGAGCUUCCAGGAGGAACGCAGCCCUGCCCGACACCUUGAUUUUAGGCUCUCAUGGAAUCCUCAUACACCUCCUGUGAGGUAAAGAGAGAAAGCAUUAUUAUUGUCACUUACGUUGAAGGCAAUAAAGCCCAGAGCCGUUGGGAUGAGUUGCCCAAGGUCACACAGAUGGUGUGUGGCAAACAACCGAGAUCUUCUGAUUCUAAAAGUCUGGUUAUCAGAGAGUUCUAGUCCCUGUUCUGGUUACAUUUGUCAUUAUAAAUUGAAACUUCUGGAUUUGGUGAAUGAAAGGCAACCUGAGAGACCCAUCCCCUCGCGGUGUGCUAUUGAAGGAUUUCUGGGCCUGCGAGGAGGAAAACUAGACCUUGCUGAAAUUCACCAGCAGGGUGCAGUUCACCCAGUGAGACCUUUCGGGGCAGAGCCUGCCAGCGUCUUCGGAAGGAAAUGCCCCUCGACACUAACUUUACUGUGUGCUGGAAUUUUGAAACAUCUUAAUCUACCUUGUGUAGUUUGGAGAAUUAAAGGCAAAAUAAGUGAAUCAACUGGAAUUAAAUAAACUUAACAAA
rnacentral:lncRNA from 1 species